GCGGCAGCGACCUGUCCACGCCACCUGAGCGUGGUGUUUGCCCCCUCGUUGGGCAAGCCCGGCAGAAAGUGGGAGCGACUGGAGGGGGCAAGGGACCCGGGGCCUCGGAGCGUGCCGUCGUGGCCGCUCCUGCCAGCCCGGGGACGGUGCGGGAAGGGGGCCCUGCCCUCCGGCCCUCGGGUUCCUGGGACCGGCCCUCCCGCCCUGCACCGGGUCACCAGGUGCCCCGCGGGAGCGCGCUGGGCUCGGGCUGUGGCCGAGACCUGGUACACGUUCGGGGAAACUGAUUACAGCUUGAAAGGCAUCCACCAACGCCUGCUGGGCCCGGUCUUCUCUGUCCGGGGCAGGGCGGCUCUGAAAAUACCAGCUAUUUGCUUGCCACUCCAGGCCGAUGACAGACGUGGAGAAAACCAGCUGCCAGCGAGCUGGAGACGCCCGUUCCCGAGGGCGCGAGGCAGCCACAGCCAAAUGCCACCACGACCCCGCCUCGGAGGGACCGCAGCCCCCUAGCCCUCGGAGAAACCCUGUUCCCGAAACCACCUGGCAGACGCUGUCCGCUUUGAGAUUACAGCAGGGAGAAGGAAACAUGCCCGUCUGGCCGGGGAGCUCAGCCACUAACCGAGACUUAGCCUCUGUCAUCCCAAUCCAGGCUGCAGCUCCAGAUAGGGGGCGUCUGCACACAGCUUCCCACACUUGGCCCCGCGGAACACAGUCCUGCUGGCCUCAGCCUGUGGGAACCCUGCUUCAUGUAAAGGUCACCUAAACUCUGCCUUCCCUCAACCCCUUCAAACUCUGCCUUUCCCUUCGUUCUUGGGAGGCGCUCCCUCAUUGCAGUGGGUCAGUACACCCGAUUUUGUGGACCACAGGUUUGCUCCUGGUGGUCUUGGGCUGAAGGGGCUGCAAAGGUUACUGAAUUUCGUGGAGGUAAAAAUUGCCCGCAGGAAAUGUCAUGAAAGUCCAGGUGCAGUAGGUUUCCUGGUGUGAUGCUUCAAAGUUAUCUUCUUACCUGGAGCCCCUUCCAGCUGCAGACUUCAGAGGUCGGAGGUUAAUCAAUCUGGAAUGACCCCACAGCCCACCCAGCUCCAGCUCGGGAUUCACUCCUGCACUAUGUCCUAGGGAUUCUGGAGCCAACAAGAUCGAACUUCGGGCACAGAUGGCAGGGCUGUGGGGUCGAGCUUGGCUGCAAGCUCCGAACACUGAUGCAAUCUCUCUGAGGGUGAUCUGGCAAUUCAGAAGUCAUAAAAAUGAUAGUGCCCUAUGACCACUUCUACCACUCUGGGGAAUUGAGUUCAAGGAAAGCUUAAGAAGACAAAAAGCAAGUUAUGCAAAUAUGUUAUCUGCUGUGGUGUGGUAAAGUUUAAUCCCCCAGCUGUGGUGCACACCUGGCAAAGAAUGGAGGCGCUGACACUUAUUGAUCAUUACUUGCAGUGUACACGUAUUAACUCCUGAUCCCUGCAAAUAGCCUGCUAUUACCCCCGCUUGACAAUGGAGAAGUUAUCUUACCCAGAUGUCAUUUCCUCUUCCUGGGAGCUGCCAUGGUCCUUCCCCUCUCCUGCAGCACUUAGUCCAAUACUGAAUCUUCAUGAUGUGACUCUUCAUAAUGCGCAUGGUUGACGCAGGAAGGAGCCCUCUCACCAUCAUGUCUCCUCACCUCCUCUGGCCGCUAAUAUUGCUGAAGUGGCUAAAUGAGUCCCAGUAUUAAUUAUCUCAGCCAUUUUCAGUUGUCUAAGUUUCUGUCACUCUUCGGCAGCAGAGGUGAGCAGCCAAAACAGAGACUGCAUGGCCUGCAAAGCCUGAAAUAUUUACCGGCUGCUCUUUACAGAAAGAGUUGGCCGUUCACUACCCUGGAGUGUGGACCUCUGGGCGAGGAACCUGUAUCCGUAGCGCUGCCUUGCACGUCCAGGCUCACAGAUAUUCAUCCAAAAGAAAUAAAAAUAUAUGCCUAUAAAAGCCUUGCACAAGAAUGGACACAGAAGACUUAUUCAUUAAAGCUCCAAAGAGGAAACGGCCCAGGGGAAUAUCAACAGGCAAAUGAAGAAACAAAGUGUGGUAUGUUGAAAUAAUUGAUUACUAUUCAACAAUGAAAAGGAAUGAGCUGCAUGCAUCCACCUGCAUGAAUCUCACAAACAUCAUGCUUAGCUGAAGACCAGACACACAAGAGCAGACACUGGAUGAUGCCAUUUACAUAAUGUUCCAGAACGGGUGACAGUAAUACGUCAUGACGGACAUCAGAUAGGGGCUGCUAGAGUCCAGGGGCAGGGUACUCUCAGAGUUUUCUGGGGUAAUAGCAAUGUUCUCUAUUUUGAUGGGGGUGUGAGCCACAUGGGUGCAUGCAUUUGCCAAAAUGAUUUGAACUGUACACCUAAGAUCUGUGUGUCCUAUUAUGUGAGGAAAAGAGAGAUCAGAUUGUUACUGUGUCUGUGUAGAAAGAAGUAGACAUAGGAGACUCCAUUUUGUUCUGUACUAAGAAAAAUUCUUCUGCCUUGAGAUUCUGUUAAUCUGUAACCUUACCCCCAACUCUGUGCUCCUUGAAACAUGUGCUGUGUCAACUCAGGGUUAAAUGGAUUAAGGGCUGUGCAAGAUGUGCUUUGUUAAACAGAUGCUUGAAGGCAGCAUGCUCCUUAAGAGUCAUCACCACUCCCUAAUCUCAAGUAUCCAGGGACACAAAACACUGGGGAAGGCCGCAGGGACCUCUGCCUAGGAAAGCCAGGUAUUGUCCAAGGUUUCUCCCCAUGUGAUAGCCUGAGAUAUGGCCUCAUGGGAAGGGAAAGACCUGACCAUCCCCCAGCCCGACACCCAUAAAGGGUCUGUGCUGAGGAGGAUUAGUAAAAGAGGAAAGAACGCCUCUUUGCAGUUGAGACAAGAGGAAGGCAUCUGUCUCCUGCUCGUCCCUGGGCAAUGGAAUGUCUUGGUGUAAAACCCGAUUGUAUAGUCCAUCUACUGAGAUAGGGGAAAACCGCCUUAGGGCUGGAGGUGGGACAUGAGGGCAGCAAUACUGCUUUUUAAGGCAUUGAGAUGUUUAUGUGUAUGUAUAUCUAAAGCACAGCACUUAAUUCUUUACCUUGUUCAUGAUGCAGAGACCAUUGUUCACGUGUUUACCUGCUGACCUUCUCUCCACUAUUAUCCUAUGACCCUGCCACAUCCCCCUCUCCGAGAAACACCCAAGAAUGAUCAAUAAAUACUAAGGGA
rnacentral:lncRNA from 1 species